rnacentral:rRNA from 1 species
GACAGAGGUGGCAAGCGUUGUUCGGAAUUACUGGGCUUAAAGGGCGCGUAGGCGGUUGUGCAAGUCUGGUGGUGGAAUCUCGGGGCUCAACUCCGGGGCUGCCCUGGAAACUGCAUAACUUGAGUAAGUGAGGGGAGGGCGGAAUUCCCGGUGUAGCGGUGAAAUGCGUAGAUAUCGGGAGGAAGGCCGGUGGCGAAGGCGGCCCUCUGGCACUUAACUGACGCUGAGGCGCGAAAGCGUGGGGAGCAAACAGG